rnacentral:lncRNA from 1 species
GUGCCCCGCCGCCAGGCACCGGGCCGGGCCCACACUUUUGCCGGUUGGCCCCCGCUGCUGGGCAGAGGGAUUCAGCGAGAGCUUGGGGAACAGGCUCAGCAGGGCUGGCUCAUAGGGCAGCCCCCGCUGGCAGCUAGAAGGGCAGCUGCAGGCCACUGAGCGCCCGCGCUCCUCUGCGCUUACUCAGCACUCCUCCAUCUGCGCCCUGCCUCCAGCUGGUCUGAGCUCCUCCGUGGGCGGGCCGAGUGCAGGAGGUGUGUGCCCCUCAGGUAAACUCUCUGCCCUCAGGGAGGCUAGCCAGUGGCAGAGGGUGCCCUGGAUUGGCGGGCCUGAUAUCUGUACAGAGACCGAAUGAUGGAGCGAGGGGUUGGCAACUCCAGACGGAGGCCACUACAAAGGUCCCAGUGAGAACAGACUCUGAGGAUGCAGGAGUCCUGGAGGAGCCUGCCAGGUGGGACCGAGGGCAACCAGGGCUAUGGGAAGAUCCUCAGGCCCCGGCAGCUCAGCUCAGGGCCUGGACACCUGCCAAGACAUAGGCUGCAGCCACCAAGAGGUGCCAGCCAAACAGAGGAGGGGACAGCAGGCACCUGGGGAUGGGGUGGAGCUGACCCCUGCUCUCUGUCCCUCCCUUCCAGGACAGCUCCUCCUAAUGCACCUCGGCAUAACCCUGCCCACCUGCAGGAGGAAAGAGAAAGCUGGGGGAACCGGGGUGGCACCCAGGUGUGGUCAGUGCCUGAAUGUCCUUCUCCCUCUGCCUUCACUCCUCCACACACAGCUCACACCUGGCCUCCUUGGGAUGCCCAUCCGGAACCUCAAAGGGCCCUGUGCAGGUGACAGCAGCAGCCCCUUCCAGCGGCCCUGUGAGGAUGUGCUGCUGGGCCGUGAGUGACUGCAUUGAUGAAGGAGCCAAUAGGUGGAGUAAUAAGUGGCCCUGAUGAGCCUCACGGCCUCCCUGUCCAGGAAGGCAAGUGGCGCACAUCCCCUCCCCACUGAUGGGUCAGGGCCAGGCUACAAUCUGCCUGGAUGUUUGGGCUCUUAUUUCUCCCCAAGGUGCUGGACCCACAUCUGUGGGCAGAGGGACAGGUGUCUGCUUCUCCCAGGGCCAGCGCGGGGUGUCCCAGCGGACGCUGCUGGGGGCAGAGGCAAGGCAAGCGGAG